rnacentral:rRNA from 1 species
UGACCUCAGAUCGGGUGGGACUACCCGCUGAACUUAAGCAUAUCAAUAAGCGGAGGAAAAGAAACUAACAAGGAUUCCCCUAGUAACGGCGAGUGAAGAGGGAAAAGCUCAAAUUUUGAAUCUGGUGUCUUUGGCAUCCGAGUUGUAAUCUAGAGAAGUGUUUUNNNCCUUGGACCACACAUAAAUUCCCUGGAAUGGGGUGUCAUAGAGGGUGAGAAUCCCGUUUGUGGUGUGGACUACCUGGGCUAUGUAAUACACUCUCAACGAGUCGAGUUGUUUGGGAAUGCAGCUCAAAAUGGGUGGUAAAUUCCAUCUAAAGCUAAAUACUGGCGAGAGACCGAUAGCGAACAAGUACCGUGAGGGAAAGAUGAAAAGCACUUUGGAAAGAGAGUGAAACAGUACGUGAAAUUGUUGAAAGGGAAGCGUUUGAAGUCAGUCACAUUGGUCAGAA